UACGUAGGGCGCAAGCGUGUCCGGAAUUAUUGGGCGUAAAGAGCUCGUAGGCGGCUUGUCACGUCGGUUGUGAAAGCCCGGGGCUUAACCCCGGGUCUGCAGUCGAUACGGGCAGGCUAGAGUGUGGUAGGGGAGGAUCGGGAAUUCCUGGUGUAGCGGUGAAAUGCGUAGAUAUCUGGAGGAACACCGGGUGGCGAAGGCGGCGGUCCUGGGACCAAACACCUGACACUGAUGAGCGAAAGCCAGGGGAGCAAACGGG
rnacentral:rRNA from 1 species